rnacentral:rRNA from 1 species
GAUCCUGGCUUAGGAUGAACGCUGGCGGCGUGCUUAACACAUGCAAGUCGAACGGAGUUUUAAGCGGAAGUUUUCGGAUGGAAGUUUAAGAACUUAGUGGCGGACGGGUGAGUAACGCGUGGGUAACCUGCCUCAUACAGGGGGAUAACAGUUAGAAAUGACUGCUAAGACCGCAUAAUAUAGCGAAACCGCAUGAUUUUUGCUAUCAAAUAUUUAUAGGUAUGAGAUGGGCCCGCGUCUGAUUAGCUAGUUGGUGGGGUAAAAGCCUACCAAGGCGACGAUCAGUAGCCGGCUUGAGAGAGUGACCGGCCACAUUGGGACUGAGACACGGCCCAAACUCCUACGGGAGGCAGCAGUGGGGAAUAUUGGACAAUGGGGGAAACCCUGAUCCAGCGACGCCCGCGUGAGUGAAGAAGUAUUUCGGUAUGUAAAGCUCUAUCAGCAGGGAAGAUAAUGACAGUACCUGACUAAGAAGCCCCGGCUAACUACGUGCCAGCAGCUGC